GGAGGCUAUAUACAGGGGGUACCGGUACAGAGUCAAUGUGGAGGCUAUAUACAGGGGGUACCGGUACAGAGUCAAUGUGGAGGCUAUAUACAGGGGGUACCGGUACAGAGUCAAUGUGGAGGCUAUAUACAGGGAGUACCGGUACAGAGUUAAUGUGGAGGCUAUAUACAGGGAGUACUGGUACAGAGUCAAUGUGGAGGCUAUAUACAGGGGGUACCGGUACAGAGUCAAUGUGGAGGCUAUAUACAGGGGGUACCGGUACAGAGUAAAUAUGGAGGCUAUAUACAGGGGUACUGGUACAGAGUCAAUGUGGAGGCUAUAUACAGGGGUACUGGUACAGAGUCAAUGUGGAGGCUAUAUACAGGGGGUACUGGUACAGAGUCAAUGUGGAGGCUAUAUACAGGGGGUACCGGUACAGAGUCAAUGUGGAGGCUAUAUACAGGAGUACUGGUACAGAGUCAAUGUGGAGGCUAUAUACAGGGGGUACCGGUACAGAGUCAAUGUGGAGGCUAUAUACAGGG
ensembl:lncRNA